rnacentral:tRNA from 1 species
ACUACUUUGGCAGAAAAAUGUAAUAAAUUUAGAAUUUAUUUAUGUAAUAAAUAUUACAAGUGGUA